rnacentral:rRNA from 1 species
UACGGGGGGGGCAAGCGUUGUUCGGAAUUACUGGGCGUAAAGGGCUCGUAGGCGGCCAACUAAGUCGGACGUGAAAUCCCCAGGCUCAACCUGGGAACUGCGUCCGAUACUGGAUGGCUUGAAUCCGGGAGAGGGAUGCAGAAUUCCAGGUGUAGCGGUGAAAUGCGUAGAUAUCGGGAGGAACACCGGUGGCGAAGGCGGCAUCCUGGACCGGCAUUGACGCUGAGGAGCGAAAGCCAGGGGAGCAAAC